UGAUCGAUGGAGGAGAUUUGGAAGCAGCUGUUACUUUAAAUCCACUGAGAGGAAAACUUGGUCUGAGAGCAGGAGAGACUGUCAGGAUAAAGGAGCUGAUCUGGUGAUGAUAAACAGCAAAGAGGAACAGGAAUUUAUCAAUGAACUGAACAUGAGAGGAGAGUCCUGGAUUGGUCUGGAACGCUAUUCUCAGAAACAUGAAUGGAAAUGGGUGGAUGGAUCACUGCUGACAGAAACGUUCUGGGCACCUGGACAGCAGAAUG